rnacentral:rRNA from 1 species
UACGUAGGUGGCAAGCGUUGUCCGGAUUUACUGGGCGUAAAGCGUGCGCAGGCGGUUGUGCAAGACAGGUGUGAAAUCCCCGGGCUUAACCUGGGAACUGCACUUGUGACUGCACGGCUGGAGUACGGCAGAGGGGGAUGGAAUUCCGCGUGUAGCAGUGAAAUGCGUAGAUAUGCGGAGGAACACCGAUGGCGAAGGCAGUCCCCUGGGCCUGUACUGACGCUCAUGCACGAAAGCGUGGGGAGCAAACAGG